CAAUAUCCAUGAGCCUCAGUAAGACAUCUUCUUCCUUGAUUUACUUCUUAUAAUUGUUGCUUGUGUUUGUAUUUUUGUGUCCAAAUUAUAAAUGCUAAGGCUUGUUUGGUCAAGAGUAUAGUAAACAGAUAGUCUUACGUUAGAUUCAUAGGUUAAUAAUCCUCUUAAAUGUCCAUGAUCUUAGUUUGCUGCUCUAGUAGCAAUGCUUUCAUUAGCGGGCAUGUCCAGUAAGAAUUUAGUUCUGCGCACUGUUGUAUAUUUUGUUAUAUCGUUGUGUAAAAUUGAUCUACAAUAACAUAUAACUCUUCAUAGUAAGCUCGAUAUAGUAACCUAGAUAAUAGAGUAAUAACCUGCUUUAAUAAGUUAAAUUGCACUGAUAGAGUGAAAAUCGUCUUCUAUAAGUUAAAUCCAUCGAAUAAUAACGCGUAACAUGUUAUACCUGCAUGUUCAUUCUUGCUAUAAUUUUCUCAUGUUUCUUAAUUUUGAGAAAUCUAACAUUUCAUUUUUCAUCCUUUGUGGAGGUUUCUUUUUUUUGCAGAAACAUGCGACAAGGACCAAGCGGUUGAGCAGCAAGAACUUCAGCAUAUUCAACAGGACAUUGAAGAUAACUAUGCAAGUUCUGUUGAGGCCCAUAUCACAUAGGUUGGAAUUGGAUUUUUGUUCAGUCUUUCUGAAUGUUGAUAGGUCAUAAGAGAAACUAGACCUGUAUAAACAAGUAAGGAAAAUGCCUCCAUAUGAAAUUGUCCUGCCCCAUUUCUUUUAAAAAAAUGUUAAAAGAAAUAGUUUAGAGAACUCAGCAAGUCUCAUUUUCAUCCAAUAUCAACUACGGUACAUAAACCUUAAAAUCAAAAGAUAAAAGCCAAAACAAAACUGACAAGUUUGUUUCAUUUUGCAUGUUUUUUCCUUUCCUUUUCUAGUUAUGCACACAACAAAGAAUUGUUGGUGUUAGCACUAUCAAGUAAGUGUUGAGAAAAAGUAAAAAUCUCAAUAUUAUGAGAUACAAG
rnacentral:lncRNA from 1 species